AUGCAUCUCUGGCAUUUGGCGCACUGCAACGUCGGAGUGGCGCAGGUCCUGCUGCAUCUCACGCUGCUACUGGAGCCAUCACACGAAGAGUUGCAGUCUUCGGUGCACCUGCUGCACUGCAUCUGCGCAGCUGCCUUCCACGGGGAAGAAGACAACAUGACCAGCACCAGCACGGCGGUGAUGGCAGCCACCUUGAGGGACGACGGGGAUGUUGAGUCAAACCUGUCUUCGAUGCAUGCAUGGCUAUGCAUGCUUGGUUACAGCGGCAGCAGUAGCAGUUACUUAGCCAGGAGGUGGAAAUGA
rnacentral:rRNA from 1 species